AGAGUUUGAUCAUGGCUCAGAACGUACGCUGGCGGCACGCCUAACACAUGCAAGUCGAACGAAGUAGCAAUACUUAGUGGCAGACGGGUGAGUAACAUGUAGGUAUCUGCCCUUUGGCCUGGAAUAACACGAGGAAACUUGUGCUAAUACCGGAUAAGUCUUUACGGAGAAAGCUUUAUGCACCAUUGGAUGAGCCUGCACUUGAUUAGUUUGUUGGUGGGGUAAUGGCCUACCAAGACUGUGAUCAAUAGCUGAUUUGAGAGGAUGAUCAGCCACAUUGGGACUGAGACACGGCCCAAACUCCUACGGGAGGCAGCAGUGGGGAAUCUUGCACAAUGGAGGAAACUCUGAUGCAGCGAUGCCGCGUGAGUGAAGAAGGCCUUUGGGUUGUAAAGCUCUUUCGUCGGGGAAGAAAAUGACUGUACCCGAAUAAGAAGGUCCGGCUAACUUCGUGCCAGCAGCCGCGGUAAUACGAAGGGACCUAGCGUAGUUCGGAAUUACUGGGCUUAAAGAGUUCGUAGGUGGUUGAAAAAGUUGGUGGUGAAAUCCCAGAGCUUAACUCUGGAACUGCCAUCAAAACUUUUCAGCUAGAGUAUGAUAGAGGAAAGCAGAAUUUCUAGUGUAGAGGUGAAAUUCGUAGAUAUUAGAAAGAAUACCAAUUGCGAAGGCAGCUUUCUGGAUCAUUACUGACACUGAGGAACGAAAGCAUGGGUAGCGAAGAGGAUUAGAUACCCUCGUAGUCCAUGCCGUAAACGAUGUGUGUUAGACGUUGGAAAUUUAUUUUCAGUGUCGCAGCGAAAGCGAUAAACACACCGCCUGGGGAGUACGACCGCAAGGUUAAAACUCAAAUGAAUUGACGGGGACCCGCACAAGUAGUGGAGCAUGUGGUUUAAUUCGAAGAUACGCGCAGAACCUUACCAACACUUGACAUGUUCGUCGCGACUCUAAGAGAUUAGAGUUUUCGGUUCGGCCGGACGAAACACAGGUGCUGCAUGGCUGUCGUCAGCUCGUGUCGUGAGAUGUUGGGUUAAGUCCCGCAACGAGCGCAACCCUCACUUUUAGUUGCCAUCAUUAAGUUGGGCACUCUGAAAGAACUGCCAGUGAUAAGCUGGAGGAAGGUGGGGAUGACGUCAAGUCCUCAUGGCCCUUACGUGUUGGGCUACACACGUGCUACAAUGGUAUCUACAACAGGAAGCAAGACUGCGAGGUCAAGCAAAUCCCUAAAAGAUACCUCAGUUCGGAUUGCACUCUGCAACUCGAGUGCAUGAAGCUGGAAUUACUAGUAAUCGUGGAUCAGCGUGCCACGGUGAAUGCGUUCCCGGGUCUUGUACACACCGCCCGUCACACCAUGGGAGUUGGUUCUACCUUAAGGCAAGGUUUCAAACCCUUGACCACGGUAUAGUCAGCGACUGGGGUGAAGUCGUAACAAGGUAGCCGUAGGGGAACCUGCGGCUG
rnacentral:rRNA from 1 species